rnacentral:tRNA from 1 species
GCCCCGGUAGCUCAGCAGGUAGAGCGCUGCUCUGGUAAAGCAGAGGUCCCGGGUUCAAAUCCCGGCCGGGGCU